rnacentral:misc_RNA from 1 species
AAAAACCCCAGCCAUACUAGCAACAAAUUUGAAUUCACCCCUUCUGUACAGUAUACACUUCUAACCUCUCUUCGCUUAGCACUUAUGAAUAGGGAAGUCCUGCUAUUUUGUGGAAGGAUAUAUGGCUUUCCAGAAGUCUACCUCAUUUCCUCUCUCACCAUUUGGGCAAAAACCUUGCUCAUUGAAACACCAGAAAGUUCCCCCAUGCUUCCCAUGCUGACUUGUGCAUUAGAUACACUGGCUUCAAAGCUAUUGGCACGAUUAUUAACAUUUUCAGUCAUCUUACCAUUAUGACUGGAUCUCCCUUCAUUUCCCUGGAGUUGAAGUGCAGAUUCCAAAUUCCACAAGACAUCUCCCAUUGAAGGCCUAUCAACACCGUACUCUGCCAAGCAUUUCUCAGCUAUAUCGCCGAACUUCUUCAAAGAAUCUGUCUUUAUUUGACCUUCAAGACAAGGAUCUACGAUUUCC